ACGGGAGGCAGCAGUGAGGAAUAUUGGUCAAUGGACGGAAGUCUGAACCAGCCAUGCCGCGUGAAGGUUAAGGUCCUAUGGAUUGUAAACUUCUUUUGUAUGGGAGCAAUAAGAGCUACGUGUAGUUCGAUGAGAGUACCAUACGAAUAAGCAUCGGCUAACUCCGUGCCAGCAGCCGCGGUAAUACGGAGGAUGCAAGCGUUAUCCGGAUUUAUUGGGUUUAAAGGGUGCGUAGGCGGUAUGGUAAGUCAGUGGUGAAAUGUCUCCGCUCAACGGAGAGCGUGCCAUUGAUACUGCUGUACUAGAAUUCGGAUGCCGUGGGAGGAAUGUGUAGUGUAGCGGUGAAAUGCUUAGAUAUUACACAGAACACCGAUUGCGAAGGCAUCUCACGAAUCCGAGAUUGACGCUGAGGCACGAAAGUGUGGGGAUCAAACAGGAUUGAUACCCUGGUA
rnacentral:rRNA from 1 species